rnacentral:tRNA from 1 species
GCGUCUGUAGCUCAGUUGGAAGAGCAAGGGACUUCUAAGCCCGAGGUCGUAGGUUCGAGUCCUACCAGGCGCAC